rnacentral:rRNA from 1 species
GAAAGUUACUAAGGGCAUACGGUGGAUGCCUUGGGUCUGAGAGGCGAUGAAGGACGUGAUAAGCUGCGAUAAGCUUCGGGAAGGUGCACAUAACCUGCGAUCCGAAGAUUUCCGAAUGGGGCAACCCCUUAUAUUGAAGAUAUAAGAUCUGCGCAAGCGGAGGCGAACGGGGAGAACUGAAACAUCUAAGUACCCCCAGGAAGAGAAAAUAAUCUAAUGAUUUCCUGAGUAGUGGCGAGCGAAAGGGAAAGAGCCCAAACCAUUCUCACUUGUGGGAGUGGGGUUGUAGGACUACAAUAUUGACUUAUAAUGUGAAGUAGAACGCUCUGGAAAGUGCGGCCAUAGAAGGUGAUAGCCCUGUAAACGUAAGCAUUAUAUACAUAGUAGUAUCCUGAGUACCGCGAGGUCGGAGACGCCUUGUGGGAAUCUGCCAGCACCAUCUGGUAAGGCUAAAUACUCCUCAGACACCGAUAGCGCACUAGUACUGUGAAGGAAAGGUGAAAAGAACCGCGAACAGCGGAGUGAAAUAGAACCUGAAACCGUAUGCCUACAAGCGGUCAGAGCCCUUUCGUGGGGUGAUGGCGUGCCUUUUGCAUAAUGAUCCUACGAGUUACUGGUCCCUGGCAAGGUUAAGCUACUAAGUAGUGAAGCCGCAGCGAAAGCGAGUCUGAAUAGGGCGAAUAGUCAGUGGCCGUAGACGCGAAACCUUGUGAUCUACCCAUGGGCAGGAUGAAGUGACGGUAACACGUCAUGGAGGUCCGAACUUAUAAGCGUUGAAAAGCUUCAGGAUGACCUGUGGGUAGGGGUGAAAGGCUAAUCAAACUGGGAGAUAGCUCGUACUCUCCGAAAUGCUUUUAGGAGCAGCGUCGUCAUUAGAAAAUUAAUUAGAGGUAGAGCUACCGAUUGGGCUAGGGGGCUUCACCGCCUACCAAACCCUGACGAACUCCGAAUGCUAAUUAAUAUAGACGGCAGUGAGGCUGCAGAUGAUAAGGUCUGUAGCCGAAAGGGAAACAACCCAGACCAUCAGCUAAGGUUCCUAAAUCAAAGUUAAGUUGCACAAACGUUGUCCGAUUGCUAUAACAGCCAGGAUGUUUGCUUGGAAGCAGCAAUCAUUUAAAGAGUGCGUAACAGCUCACUGGUCGAGUGAUCGGGCGCGGAAGAAUGACCGGACAUCAAACUUUGUACCGAAGCUAUGGGAUCGAAAGAUCGGUAGGAGAGCAUUCCAGCGCCGUCGAAGGUGGAUCGUGAGGUCUGCUGGAGGUUCUGGAAAAGAAAAUGUAGGAAUAAGUAACGAUAAAACAAGUGAAAAACUUGUUCGCCACAAGCCUAAGGGUUCCUGAUCAAUGUUAAUCAGAUCAGGGUUAGUCGGAUCCUAAGGACCACCCGAAAGGGGACCUCCGAUGGAAAACAGGUUAAUAUUCCUGUACUUGUGUAAGUUUCGAUGGGGUGACGGAGUAGUGAAAGUGCCGCGUACUGACGGAAUAGUACGUUAAAGUGUUUAGGUAUAUCGAUUGUUGGUAAAUCCGCAGUUGAUGCUGAGACACGACAGUAUCUCAAACCUUCGGGGGAGGGAAUAGUGCACCUAAUCAGACUUCCAAGAAAAACCUCUAAGGCUAGGCUUAUACAAUCCGUACCGUAAACCGACACAGGUGGGCGAGGAGAAUAUCCUAAGGCGCUCGGGUGAGCCGCGGCUAAGGAACUCGGCAAAAUAGUCCUGUAACUUCGGGAGAAAGGACCCCUCCUUCGGGAGGGCGCAGUGAAUAGGCCCAGGCGACUGUUUAACAAAAACACAGGACUCUGCUAAAUCGAAAGAUGAUGUAUAGGGUCUGACACCUGCCCGGUGCUGGAAGGUUAAAGAAGGGGGUUAGCCGCAAGGCGACGCUCUCGACUGAAGCCCCAGUAAACGGCGGCCGUAACUAUAACGGUCCUAAGGUAGCGAAAUUCCUUACUGUCUCAGCCGCGAGCCCGGUGAAAUUGAAGUAUCGGUGAAGAUGCCGGUUUCCCGCAACGGGACGGAAAGACCCCAUGCACCUUCACUAUAGCUUCGCACUGAUUUUGAUUACACGAUGUGUAGGAUAGGUGGGAGACUUUGAAGCGGUGGCGCCAGCCAUCGUGGAGUCAACCUUGAAAUACCACCCUUCGUUUGAUUAGAAUCUAACUCUGGAUAAAGAGGACAAUGCGUGGUGGGUAGUUUGACUGGGGUGGUCGCCUCCCAAAGAGUAACGGAGGCUUCCAAAGGUACCCUCAGCACGCUUAGUAACCGUGCGUAGAGUGCAAUGGCACAAGGGUGCUUGACUGCAAGACCAACAAGUCGAGCAGGUACGAAAGUAGGGCAUAGUGAUCCGGUGGUUCCGCAUGGAAGGGCCAUCGCUCAUAGGAUAAAAGGUACGCUGGGG